UGGGUAAUUUUGCACAAUGGGCGCAAGCCUGAUGCAGCGACGCCGCGUGAGGGAUGAAGGCCUUCGGGUUGUAAACCUUUUUCGCUCAUGGUCAAGCCGCAGCUUUGGGUUGUGGUGAGGGUAGUGGGUAAAGAAGCGCCGGCUAACUACGUGCCAGCAGCCGCGGUAAUACGUAGGGCGCGAGCGUUGUCCGGAAUUAUUGGGCGUAAAGGGCUUGUAGGCGGUUGGCCGCGUCUGCCGUGAAAUCCUCUGGCUUAACUGGGGGCGUGCGGUGGGUACGGGUUGACUUGAGUGCGGUAGGGGAGACUGGAAUUCCUGGUGUAGCGGUGGAAUGCGCAGAUAUCAGGAGGAACACCGGUGGCGAAGGCGGGUCUCUGGGCCGUUACUGACGCUGAGGAGCGAAAGCGUGGGGAGCGAACAGG
rnacentral:rRNA from 1 species